rnacentral:rRNA from 1 species
UACGUAGGGUGCGAGCGUUGUCCGGAAUUAUUGGGCGUAAAGGGCUCGUAGGCGGUUUGUCGCGUCGGGAGUGAAAUCCACUGGCUUAACUGGUGGCUUGCUUUCGAUACGGGCAGACUGGAGGUAUGCAGGGGAGAACGGAAUUCCUGGUGUAGCGGUGAAAUGCGCAGAUAUCAGGAGGAACACCGGUGGCGAAGGCGGCUCACUGGACCACAACUGACGCUGAGACGCGAAAGCGUGGGGAGCGAACAGG